AGAGUUUGAUCCUGGCUCAGAUUGAACGCUGGCGGCAGGCCUAACACAUGCAAGUCGAGCGGUAGCACAGAGAGCUUGCUCUCGGGUGACGAGCGGCGGACGGGUGAGUAAUGUCUGGGAAACUGCCUGAUGGAGGGGGAUAACUACUGGAAACGGUAGCUAAUACCGCAUAACGUCGCAAGACCAAAGUGGGGGACCUUCGGGCCUCAUGCCAUCAGAUGUGCCCAGAUGGGAUUAGCUAGUAGGUGGGGUAACGGCUCACCUAGGCGACGAUCCCUAGCUGGUCUGAGAGGAUGACCAGCCACACUGGAACUGAGACACGGUCCAGACUCCUACGGGAGGCAGCAGUGGGGAAUAUUGCACAAUGGGCGCAAGCCUGAUGCAGCCAUGCCGCGUGUGUGAAGAAGGCCUUCGGGUUGUAAAGCACUUUCAGCGGGGAGGAAGGCGGUGAGGUUAAUAACCUCACCGAUUGACGUUACCCGCAGAAGAAGCACCGGCUAACUCCGUGCCAGCAGCCGCGGUAAUACGGAGGGUGCAAGCGUUAAUCGGAAUUACUGGGCGUAAAGCGCACGCAGGCGGUCUGUCAAGUCGGAUGUGAAAUCCCCGGGCUCAACCUGGGAACUGCAUUCGAAACUGGCAGGCUAGAGUCUUGUAGAGGGGGGUAGAAUUCCAGGUGUAGCGGUGAAAUGCGUAGAGAUCUGGAGGAAUACCAAUGCGUAGAGAUCUGGAGGAAUACCGGUGGCGAAGGCGGCCCCCUGGACAAAGACUGACGCUCAGGUGCGAAAGCGUGGGGAGCAAACAGGAUUAGAUACCCUGGUAGUCCACGCUGUAACGAUGUCGAUUUGGAGGUUGUGCCCUUGAGGCGUGGCUUCCGGAGCUAACGCGUUAAAUCGACCGCCUGGGGAGUACGGCCGCAAGGUUAAAACUCAAAUGAAUUGACGGGGGCCCGCACAAGCGGUGGAGCAUGUGGUUUAAUUCGAUGCAACGCGAAGAACCUUACCUGGUCUUGACAUCCACAGAACUUUCCAGAGAUGGAUUGGUGCCUUCGGGAACUGUGAGACAGGUGCUGCAUGGCUGUCGUCAGCUCGUGUUGUGAAAUGUUGGGUUAAGUCCCGCAACGAGCGCAACCCUUAUCCUUUGUUGCCAGCGGUUAGGCCGGGAACUCAAGGGGGAGUGCCAGUGAUAAACUGGAGGAAGGUGGGGAUGACGUCAAGUCAUCAUGGCCCUUACGACCAGGGCUACACACGUGCUACAAUGGCAUAUACAAAGAGAAGCGACCUCGCGAGAGCAAGCGGACCUCAUAAAGUAUGUCGUAGUCCGGAUUGGAGUCUGCAACUCGACUCCAUGAAGUCGGAAUCGCUAGUAAUCGUAGAUCAGAAUGCUACGGUGAAUACGUUCCCGGGCCUUGUACACACCGCCCGUCACACCAUGGGAGUGGGUUGCAAAAGAAGUAGGUAGCUUAACCUUCGGGAGGGCGCUUACCACUUUGUGAUUCAUGACUGGGGUGAAGUCGUAACAAGGUAGCCGU
rnacentral:rRNA from 1 species